ensembl:lncRNA
GAACUCUUGGCGUGUGGAGCGCACAGGAAAACAUAAAUAUAUCAGCAGUUCUGUGUUUGGCUUUCUUCUGUACAGUUUGUUCUUUUUUUUUUUUUUUUGGUUAGUAUAAAGCAGGAAGUCUGCAUCUCAUUACAUUCAUGACAGAAACACUACCUGAAAACACACACAAGAGCUUCAGAAGAACUGAAUCUACUAACAACAGAGAAGAUCACUGAAGAAGAGAGAAGAAUGAAGAUCAUCUGGACUUUCACUCUGCUGAUGAUUCCUGGUAAGAGUCUUGAAUGUUGAUCUCAUUUAAACUUCAUGAAAAAUUUAAGUCACUUCAUUUUGGUUUGUUUUGUAGGUACCAUGACCUCAGUCAGUGUGGCUGGAAAUUCAGGAUAUAAAGUCAACAUGACAUGCACAUAUGAUAGCAAUGACAAAGAAAAGUAUUUUUGUAAAGUACAGUGGUCAGAGUGCACAGAAGUGAAUCUGACCAUUAUAUUAGCAGUCACAGCAACCGACCUAUCACAAGAUGCGAGGGAAGGUAGGCCUAAUUAGUUAUUUUAAUUUUUAUUUGAUGGAUUGAUUGAUUGAUUGAUAUACUGUAUUUUAGAGUUGUAAUGUUAUGGUUUACAAUUUACAGUGUCUCUGUUAAUAAAACAUGCAAUUCAAAUUACA